rnacentral:rRNA from 1 species
UACAGAGGGUGCGAGCGUUAAUCGGAUUUACUGGGCGUAAAGGGCGCGUAGGCGGCGUGACAAGUCACUUGUGAAAUCUCCGGGCUUAACCCGGAGCGGCCAAGUGAUACUGUCGUGCUAGAGUGCGGAAGGGGCUACUGGAAUUCUCGGUGUAGCGGUGAAAUGCGUAGAUAUCGAGAGGAACACCUGCGGCGAAGGCGGGUAGCUGGGCCGACACUGACACUGAGGCGCGAAAGCCAGGGGAGCGAACGGG